AUGGCCGUCCCUGCGUCUCACUCAUCACCGUCACGGCCCCCCGUCCCCCCGUCCCCCCGUCCCCCCGUCCCCCCGUCCCCCUGUCCCCCCGUCCCCCUGUCCCCCUGUCCCCCCGUCCCCCCGUCCCCCUGUCCCCCCGUCCCCCUGUCCCCCUGUCCCCCCGUCCCCCCGUCCCCCCGUCCCCCCGUCCCCCUGUCCCCCCGUCCCCCCGUCCCCCUGUCCCCCCGUCCCCCUGUCCCCCUGUCCCCCUGUCCCCCUGUCUCCCGUCUCCCCGUCUCCCUGUCUCCCUGUCUCACCGUCUCCUGUCUCCUGUCUCCCUGUCUCACCGUCUCCUGUCUCCUGUCUCCCUGUCUCACCGCCUCCUGUCUCCCUGUCUCACCAUCUCCUGUCUCACCGUCUCCUGUCUCCCUGUCUCACCGUCUCCUGUCUCCUGUCUCCCUGUCUCACCGUCUCCUGUCUCCCUGUCUCACCAUCUCCUGUCUCACCGUCUCCUGUCUCCCUGUCUCCUGUCUCCUGUCUCACCGUCUCCUGUCUCCUGUCUCACCGUCUCCUGUCUCCUGUCUCACCGUCUCCUGUCUCCCUGUCUCCUGUCUCCUGUCUCACCGUCUCCGGUCUCCUGUCUCACCGUCUCCUGUCUCCUGUCUCACCGUCUCCUGUCUCCUGUCUCACCGUCUCCUGUCUCACCGUCUCCUGUCUCACCGUCUCCUGUCUCCCUGUCUCACCGUCUCCUGUCUCCCUGUCUCCUGUCUCACCGUCUUCUGUCUCCUGUCUCACCGUCUCCUGUCUCACCGUCUCCUGUCUCACCGUCUCCUGUCUCCCUGUCUCACCGUCUCCUGUCUCCCUGUCUCCUGUCUCACCGUCUCCUGUCUCACCGUCUCCUGUCUCACCGUCUCCUGUCUCCUGUCUCACCGUCUCCUGUCUCACCGUCUCCUGUCUCCUGUCUCACCGUCUCCUGUCUCCUGUCUCCCUGUCUCCUGUCUCACCGUCUCCUGUCUCACCGUCUCCUGUCUCACCGUCUCCUGUCUCCUGUCUCACCGUCUCCUGUCUCCUGUCUCCCUGUCUCCUGUCUCACCGUCUCCUGUCUCACCGUCUCCUGUCUCCCUGUCUCACCGUCUCCUGUCUCACCGUCUCCUGUCUCCUUCCCCAGGGGCAGAAAGGAGACCACGGACACAAAGGAGACGAGGGGCUCCGGGGGUCGCCUGGGGACCCCGCUAA
rnacentral:lncRNA from 1 species